CGCACCUUGCACCUCUUGGUAUUCCGAGAGGUACAUCUGUUUGAGUGUCAUGAAUUUCUCAACCUCUACACUUUCUUGUAAAGUGCGGAAGCGUUGGAUGCUGAGCGUUUGCUGUCUCAAAAUACAGCUCGCUUCAAAUGUAUAAGCAAUCUUUGUACUACUCGGAUUGACUUGGCGUGAUAAAAUCUUCGUCAAGGAUGCUUUACAGCAGCCGAAUGGUAUCGCAGUUGCUACCAAACCGUCGCACUUGUGCCACACUUUUAUUUUAGACCUCAAAUCAGAUGGGACUACCCGCUGAACUUAA
rnacentral:misc_RNA from 1 species